GUUAUUCAGGGGUAUUCAAAAUGUGGUCCUGAGAUGACUGAGAAGUGGUUUCUCAGACUGGUGUGAAAGGGUAAUUGUUCCUGGAUGUUUCCCCAGAACCCUUGUCCUUGCAGAUUCAUGAGGAUGAGGACCUGGUUUCCACCCACACUUUUGGACCUGGCAGUCCAGAGUCUGCUGAGGGACAAGAACUUGGUGAUCCGGGCUCUGGAGGAACUUCCCAGGGAGCUCUUCCCACCGCUUUUCAUGGAGGCUUUCACCAGGGGACACACUGAGGUCCUGAAGGCCUUGGUGCCAGCUUGGCCUUUCCCCUGCCUCCCUCUGGGGGUCCUGAUGAAAAUGAGAAACACAGAGAUCGCCCAAACUCAGCUGAACAUUUUCCGGCUGCCAGCAUGGGACCUGCAGUUCUUUCAAGCUGUGCUGGAUGGGCUUGAUGUGCUGCUGGCUCAGAAGGUUCGCCCCAGGAGGUGGAAACUGCAAGUGUUGGAUAUGCGGAACAUGCACCUAAACUUCUGGAGGGUCUGGGCUGGAAACUUGGCUGAUCCUGGUUUCCCAGAGGUCACAAUGGGUAGGGAAAUGAAGAAGGAUGGGCCAAAGUUGGCAGAAAAGCAGCCCCUAAGGGUGCUCAUAGACCUGAACCUCCAUCUGGAUUGUCUGGAUUCACCUUUACAUUUUCUUUUUAAGUGGGCCCAGGAGAGGAGGGGUUUGCUUCAAGUGGAGUGUAGAAAGCUGUGUAUAGAUGCAGUUUCUCCUGAAACAAUUUUGAACAUGCUGGAAAUUGCUGACUUCGGAUUCAUGGAGGAUGUGGAAGUCCAUGGUUUCUGGGCUCUCUUUGUUCUGUGUAAUUUUGACUCUUACCUGGGCCAGAUGAAAAAUCUUCAGAAGCUACUUCUCUCUCACAUCCAUGUGCCUGAUUGCCUUCCUCCAGAUGAGACGGAGAAGUUGGUGACCCAAUUAACCUCUCAUUUCCUAAACCAGCACCACCUACAGGAGCUUCAUAUGAACAAUGUCUCCUUUUUGGAAGGCCACCUCACUGAGGUGCUCAGGUGCCUGAAGAUUCACUUGGAGACCCUCUCAAUAACACAUUUGCAGCUUUCACACAUAGACUGGAACCAUUUGUCCCAGUGCCCAAGCAUCAGUCAGCUAAAACGCCUGUGUCUGAGUGGUGUCAGGUUGACUGAAUUUAGACCUGAGCCCCUCCAAGUUCUUCUGGAGAAAGUUGCAGGUACCCUGACCACGCUGUACUUGGAAUCCUGUGGGAUCACUGACUUCCACCUCAGAGCCAUCAUUCCUGCCCUGAGCCUCUGCUCUCAGCUCAGCACCUUAAGCUGCAUACAGAACUCCAUCUCUGUGGCCACCUUGGAGAACCUGCUGUACCACACUGCCAGGAUGAGAAAUUUAAGACUGGAGCUGUACCCUAUUCCUCGGGAGGUUCAUAGUUCUAGACUGGGGCAGCUUAGGGAUGCGAUGAGGAGGAUUGUAAAGCCGUUAAACUACCCCAGGACUGCCUGGCUCAGUAUUAAUGAGUAUUAUUGUCCCAGUGGUGUCUGGGAAACCUGUUACCUGGAGUUUAGUGAGUGCUCUAACAGUAUCCCUAUGUAGCUGGACACAUAUAUUCUAUGCUGUCUUUAGGCCACUGGGAACAAAGAGCCCAUGUUUCUGUGUGAUUGGUGAAAAAAGAUGUUGGACAGCUGGAGGGCAGCCUUGGAUGGAAAAAUGUUGACCUGGAAGGUAGAAGUGAUCUUUGGAGACAUGAGUCCUAGACAGGGUCAGAAAUAGGAACCCGGGUCUAGAAGUAAAUUCGUGCAUGGAUGGAUAUAAAGAAGUGUUCAGAAAUAAAGAGAACCACAAUGUAAAGUAUCUGGUUUCCUCCAC
rnacentral:lncRNA from 1 species